UGGGUGUCGUGACACCUAGCAUAGCAACCACAAUGCAAUUUUUUGGUGUGUUUCAACGUCUGUGAACUAGAACAUUUCUUGCAUAUGCUGUUUGAUUUGAAACUGUGGGACGUAUGUGACUUUCGAAAAUGAAAUGGGUGUUCUCCAAGAGUGCAAAUGAAGUUUUUCCAGUGUGUUUCAUCUGGAAGAAAGGUUUUCCUUUGACAACCAGAGAGCACAUUGACGACACCCUUCGUGAUGGCAAACUCGACAAAGUUGUAGCCAAGAGGCCGUGUAAUUGGAAGUAUUCCAGUAAAUUCGUCUUUGCUUGCAUCUAGGAAGACACCGUCACAAAAGGAUCGAUGGAAGUUGGAUGUUAUGAUGGCAUGUGGCGGUGGGACCGAAUAUCGAUUGAUAGUGUAAACAAUUGCCAAUUCACCUUGUGAGACGAAGACGUUGACUGAGGCGGCCUUCCCUCUCCACGGUACGCAGGUAU